CGAGAGUUGCAAAACUCCCUAAAACCCACUGUAAACAUACCUAUUUUGGCUACUUCGGCAGGCGGCCCCAGGGCGGGGCCAUGGCCUUUUAGGCGCCUGCCAAAGCCUAUAAAACUCUUACUGUUACUGUAUUCUGAGCAUAAAAAACAAAUAAGUUA
rnacentral:misc_RNA from 1 species